GGAAAACUUACCAGGUCCAGACAAAAGGAGGAUUGACAGAUUGAGAGCUCUUUCUUGAUUUUUUGGGUGGUGGUGCAUGGCCGUUCUUAGUUGGUGGAGUGAUUUGUCUGGUUAAUUCCGUUAACGAACGAGACCACAGCCUGCUAAAUAGUCCGGAUUGUACUUUACAGUCUAGGGCUUCUUAGAGGGACACCGAGUUACCAAGCUCGGGGAAGUUUGUGGCGAUAA
rnacentral:rRNA from 1 species